UGACAGAAGGCUUGAAUUGGUGGAGA
rnacentral:piRNA from 1 species